rnacentral:rRNA from 1 species
AGUAAAAGUCGUAACAAGGUCUCCGUUGGUGAACCAGCGGAGGGAUCAUUACUGAGUUUACGCUCUACAACCCUUUGUGAACAUACCUACAACUGUUGCUUCGGCGGGUAGGGUCUCCGCGACCCUCCCGGCCUCCCGCCUCCGGGCGGGUCGGCGCCCGCCGGAGGAUAACCAAACUCUGAUUUAACGACGUUUCUUCUGAGUGGUACAAGCAAAUAAUCAAAACUUUUAACAACGGAUCUCUUGGUUCUGGCAUCGAUGAAGAACGCAGCGAAAUGCGAUAAGUAAUGUGAAUUGCAGAAUUCAGUGAAUCAUCGAAUCUUUGAACGCACAUUGCGCCCGCCAGCAUUCUGGCGGGCAUGCCUGUUCGAGCGUCAUUUCAACCCUCAAGCUCUGCUUGGUGUUGGGGCCCUACAGCCGAUGUAGGCCCUCAAAGGUAGUGGCGGACCCUCCCGGAGCCUCCUUUGCGUAGUAACUUUACGUCUCGCACUGGGAUCCGGAGGGACUCUUGCCGUAAAACCCCCCAAUUUUCCAAAGGUUGACCUCGGAUCAGGUAGGAAUACCCGCUGAACUUAAGCAUAUCAUAA